rnacentral:lncRNA from 10 species
CUCAUCCAAGAUCAACUGCAGAGGAGGACGAGGGAAAUUUUAUAUGGGAACAAUUAUCUGAAAAAUUACCAAGUGAAGAGCCCAGGUUAGAAGGUUACUUUGCUCCACAGAGUCAUUCAUCGAUUCAAGCUCUGACAUCUUUCGGUUCUGCCAUUCCCCCAGAGAAUGUCCUCAUUUGUAUGGUCAAGGCUGGGUUGCAGAGAAGUCCAUGUUGCAGCUCAUGGAAAAAAAGAACCAAAGGGACUCAAGAACACUGGCUUAUGUCUUAGAUUGGAGAUGACCUGGAAAGUCAACUUUCACCCAUAACCCAUUGGCCUAAAACAAUAGAAGGCAACUGGAAAAGAGGCAAGGAUUCUAACUACAUACUGCAGAAAAAAUAUUCACACCUGUCAAAUUCCAACAGCUGGCAUUGUUGUUGUUCUACGAAUAAGCACACACAGAAUCCUCGUGAAUAGUUCUUUGUCUCUUGCUCUAGUAAAUCAUAACCUGCUUGUAGCUUUUUUAUGAACCUUCAGGAAUAACUCUUCAGAGGAUGCUAAUACAUCAUUAAGAUUAAAUUGAACCUCAAAGGUGGGUUUUUUUUCCAAAAUGAUAAAGGCCACCAACACUGCAAGGUUUGCCGUCAUUCCCUUGAUCUGGUAAGUGACACCGUCUUCAGGGUUUGUGUACUCAAAGAUAUGAUUAAUAAAACGGUGACCAAGACGUGUGACGUAAUGCUGGUCAUGGACCUGUGGAUGCAGGAAAUAGGCCAGAGGCACCAGGAAUACAUCCUUAACUUCAGCAGGAUUCGGCUGGGCCUGGAAGUUGUGGUCUAUUAAACCCACAAAUGGAGUUAUCAAUGUAUCUGUCUAAAAGCAGAAAACAAAACAGACAAAUUAAGAAGUGAAGUGAUACUGCUUCAAAUCCUAAAAUCAUGCCACUUCUAGGUGAGCUAAGAAAAUACACCGAACCUGGGAGAAGGGGAAGAAAGCUUAUUCCGGAAACAAAUUUAUGUUCCCCCUAAAAUGGGAGUCAUCCUGCUCUACCUGAGGUGACAUCUAUGAGAUGACUCUGAAAAUGAUUUCUUGUAUGAACAUAAAGUAGUACAAUCUUUUGGAAUGGCAAUUUGGCAGUAUCAUAAAAAUGUGUUCGCUUUGACCUGGGAAUUGCAUUUGUGUAUCUGUAUGAUAAAUUCCUACCAGUAAGAAAAGACACAAGUAUAAACCUGAAGAAUUAGUUUCAACAACAGCCCCAAAUUCUAAAGUUAUCACUCUUCACUUUAUAGGCAUUUAGGUUAUAUAAAUUAGGGUUAUAUCCAUAAAAGAGGAUACUAUGUAGCCUUUAAAAACAAUGGGAUAGACAUCUUUCCUUCUCAGUAAAGAAAAAAAUGUGCUAUACUUAUGAACAGAAAAGUAAAGUGAUAUAAUACUAGUUAUGACAUAUUCCCAUUUAUGGAAAAAUUUCAUAGUACAUACACAUAUAUAUAUAAUUAUGUGUCUUAUAUAUAACUAUAUGUGAACUACUUUAUAUAACACACAUGUAUAUAUUACAUGGGAGAGGGAUUUCUAUUUACAACCACAACUGCUUGCAAAUGAACAUGAGUGGCCGGGUGUGGUGGCUCACGCCUGUAAUCCCAGCACUUUGGGAGGCUGAGGUGGGCGGACCACCUGAGGUCAGGAGUUUGAGACCAGCCUAGCCAACAUGAUGAAAUCCCGUCUCUACUAAAAAUACACAAAUUAGCCGGGUGUGGUGGUGCGUGCCUGUAAUCCCAGCUACUCAGGAGGCUGAGGCAGGAGAAUUGCUUGAACUUGGGAGGCGGAGAUAGAUUGCAGUGAGCCGAGAUCAUGCCACUGCACUCCAGCCUGGGUGACAGAGAGAGGCCCAGUCUCAAAAAUAAAAAUAAAUAUAUAAAAGUAAAAAAGCAAAUGAACAUGAGUGUUGUCAAAUGAAAGACUGUUUUGUUAUACUGGAAACCCUGAGAGGGAGGCCUGGGGCUGAGUGAGGAUGUGGGAACUGGUAAGAGCUGCCUGCCUUUGUAUUAGAAAGUGAGAAGAACUGGAAUUCCUGGAGCAUCCCAAGAGGAAGUGGGUGGAAAAAGCCAGAGAGGUAGACACAUGGUGAGGCUGGGACCUAUCCGGCCUGCAGAAUGUUCUGAGGGACAGCCAAAGACAGGAAACCAAAUUUAGGAACAGAGACAACUCAGACCAUUAACCAAAAUAAUAGUGAAAGUCAACAUUUGGACCAGGAGGAGACAAGAGGAACAUAGACUUCGUAUGUCCUUGGGGCAGGAAAUUUGGGGUCAUUAAGUUACCCGAGGGCAGAGGCAACAUUCUACCAGCACGUAACACCACACCUGGCAUUGGGGAAAUGCUUAGUCUCUGAAUAUGGAGUUUUCCAGGUGGACUCUGAGAUAAGGACUCAGAUGCAAGUGAUUUUUUAAGAAAGUGCUCCCAGGGGAAACAGUUAAGGGGAAGAGGGGAGCAAUACUCAUAAGGGAAGAAGGCUGGCAAGGGCACCAUGGGGUGUUCUGGAGGGUAAAUUAAUAUGCAGUUUGUCCCACAUGGAGACAAGGGAGCUGGGAUUUCAUGCUCCCCAGCCCCAGUCAGUCACUGGUUAAGGACUACCUUGCCAGAGGUGAAUUCACAGGCACUCCCAGCUCUCUGUGCAGGACACAUGGCAAGGUGGCUCCAGUAUCAAGGGUACCAGUAUUCAGAAGAAAGCUGCCAAGUGUUGUCAGAGGCGUUUGAACCAGAGCAACUCCAUCUUGAAUAGGGGCUGGGUAAGAUAAGGCUUGGAGCUACUGGGCUGCAUUCCCAGGAGGUUAGGGCAUGCUUAGUCACCAGAUGAGACUGAGAUACAAGUCAUAAAGACCUUACAGUAAAGAAGGCCAUCAAAACGCACCAAAACCAAGAUGGCAAUGAAAGUAACCUCUGGUCAUCCUCACUGCUCAUUAUACGAUAAUUAGAAAGCAUUAGAAUGUUAAAAGAUACUCCCACUAGUGCCAUGACAGAUUACAAAUGCCACGGCAAUGUCAGGAAGUUACCCUACAUGGUCUAAAAAUGGGAGGAACUCUCACCUCUGGGAAUUGCCCAUCCCUUUCCUGGAAAACUCAUGAAUAACCCACCCCUUGUUUAGCAUAUGAUCAAGAAAUAACCAUAAAAAUGGCCAACCAGCAGCACAUGCUGUUGCUCUGUUAUGGAAUAGCCAUUCUUUUUUUUCUUUACUUCUCUAAUAAACUUGCUUUCACUUUAUGGACUCACCCUGUGAGAUCCUAGAACCCUCUCUUAGGGUCUGGAUCAGGCCCCCUAUCUGGUAACAGUGAGUUAUCAGAAGCCCUGGGGUUGUAAGAGGAAUAUGAAGGGGCCUGGACAGAGCCCCAACAAUGUAUGCUCAGUAAAUAUUCGUGGUUGCUGCUACCAUUGGUGACCACAACUUACGGGCACCUAGUCUAGUUCCCAGCACCCUCUGAUUCCUUACAACAAUCUGAUCGCGAAGAAGCCUUAACAACUACAAUUAGAGACGUGAAGAAACUUGCCCAAGGGCAUAUUCUGCUGAUACUUGGCAGAAACUGGAUUCGACCACAGAUGUGUUGCUCAUACUCCUGGGUAUAUUUCAGAGACCUUUGCAAAAAGUAGUACAUAAAUGUCUGACAAAAGGGAAAACUGGGGUGGGGGUUGUGGUGUCACAGCCUGCCUGGAAGGCUUAUGUAGCGGGUACAUACAUAGGUGCAUACAUACAUAGGUAGCUACUCUGGAGGCUGAGGCAGGAGAAUUGCUUGAACUUGGGAGGUGGAGGUUGCAGUGAGCUGAGAUCACUGGGACUCGAGAUCACUUGAGAAAAGCCAAUAGCACCCUUCCACUCCCAGCUAUGAUCUCCAGACAUUACCAAAUUCCCCAGGGUUGAAAAAUCACUCCAGGUUAAGAGCCACGUAGAUUAGAUUAUGCUUAUAAUUUUCAAUAAAUGGCAUUUUUGUGAUACAUUUUAAAAAUUAGCAGGGGCCAAAAAACAAAGCAACCCUCCCUUGCACUUCCAAACAAAGCAGACUUUUUAAAGCCUUUGUUUAAUCUCUCAAUCACGCCAUUUUAGAAAUCUCCUGUUCCAGGAGUAUCUGGCCCCCAGGAAUCUCCCAGAGACACUUUCCUGUUAAUGCUCCUGAAUUCUAUCCACCCACAUGCAGAACUCAGUAGCACCUGGGGACCUUGGGAACAGAGUUAGUCUCAUUUUGGAAACUUUUAAUCAGUAUAGCUAAAUUAGUUAAUUGAUUUCUAAAGUAAAUCCUCCAAAUGCUGGUGGAUUUGCGGAAAUCAACUGUAAAGAGUUCCCAUUAGAAAACCAAAUGGAAAAGUAAUUGACACAUUUCGUGUGUAAUCCCAUGUCUCCAUCUCGCUUUCAUACACACACACUUAGAAAACAUUUAUUGAGUGGCCACUAGCUUUUUGCAAACAAAACCACCCUUGGGUACUGACCUUUCUAUUUUUAAAAAGGACCCAAUUAAGACAGACAUUGUCUCAGCAUCACUGAUCUUCAAAACACUGCCCCACCAAGACUUCAGUCAAGUGGAACAUAAAGGAUCAUCUAACCCACUGGUUUUCUAAGUGUUAGGCAACAGUGGGACU